rnacentral:rRNA from 1 species
UACGAAGGGUGCAAGCGUUACUCGGAAUUACUGGGCGUAAAGCGUGCGUAGGUGGUGAGUUAAGUCUGUCGUGAAAGCCCCGGGCUCAACCUGGGAAUGGCGAUGGAUACUGGCUCGCUAGAGUGCGGUAGAGGAGAGUGGAAUUCCCGGUGUAGCGGUGAAAUGCGCAGAUAUCAGGAGGAACACCGAUGGCGAAGGCAGCUCGCUGGGACGGUACUGACGCUGAGGCGCGAAAGCGUGGGGAGCAAACAGG